rnacentral:lncRNA from 1 species
AUUUGGUUCCAGUUAUGUAAUGUUACAGAGUAUUUCAAUAUAUUCAGGUAUCUUAGAUUUCUAAAUGAGAUUACUACUGAUAGCAUUAGUACGUUUGGUUUAAUACAGUAAUAUAAUGCUGGAUUGCAGUAUUUAUACCAUUACUAUAUUUGGUUCUGUUUAUAAAAUUUAGUAAUUUAGACAAUAAAAUAUAGUCUAUUACAAAAUUGCCCCUAGUCAUAUUUCGUAAAUUUUUUUUUACUGAUUACAAACAAUAUUUUUUUACCAAAUUUUAUUUUAAAUAAUUUAAUUUU